UUCAGCACCAGGGCUGCACCCCGUGGGUGCCCCACACACUCACCGCAUCCCUCAGUGGGACCCAGCCUCAGGCACCAGGGGGAAAUCCCACGGGCAGUGCCAAUGCUGCCCGAGCCCAGACCCAGGCAGAGCCGGGGCCGGAAGCCCUCUCCCUUCUCUCUAGCCCUCUGUAGGGGAGCACGUGCUCACCCCACAAGGACCCAUGGGCCAAGCUGGGGGCUUAUGUCCCUGGUGGGUAAAGGCACCUGGCUGGUUUCUCUCUGCCCACAGCAGUCCAGCUCUGCAGAGCCGGGGGGAUGAAAGGACAGACAGCCUAACUCUGCCAGAGGCCUGGGAUAGCAACUCCCCCUUUAAGCCUCAGUCCCCUGGUCUACAAAACAGGAGGGAAGAUAAACCCCUAGUUAAGCUCCAAGAAUCUAGUGGCUGGACACGCCCCUUCCUGACACCUGGCUGGGCCCUGAGGAGCCUGGGAAAAGGGGCUGACAAGGCUGCCAGGAGGUGGGGCAUGGUCCUAAUGCCCAGUGUCACCUCCACCAGGACAGAGGCCCAGCCCAGUUUCCCCACCCUAGGGUCAGAGGUCCCUUGGCUUAGGCCUGGUCUUCUGGGAGGCCGAGGGUGACAGGCUCAACCUCUGGCAGGCUCAAGGGAGGUGGCUGGGCCCUGGGCUUCCUGGAGACGGCAGGGCCUCCGCAGGGGAAUGCGGGAGGGGUCAGAACCAGGCAGGCCAAGGAACCCGCAGGGAGGCCCUGGGCCGGGAAUGGCAAACCGCCCAUCCUCCUGGGCCCUGGCCCAUGCCGACCCCCUCCCUCCAGGCUCCAGCCAGCCCCCACAAGAGGGGGAGGACAGACUCGGGGUGGCCAGAGACAAGUCUGUGGGGCUCGAAAGGUAGUACCUCCCUCGUGCGCUCCCCUCCCAGUCGGGCUGGGCUGACAGUGACUCCCGGGAGAUUUCGAACCCGGGAAGGAGGGUGUAAGGGAGGUGGGGGAUGGGUGUGGACGCCACGGCAGCUGCAACAGAAGCAACAGAAGCGGGACGAGCGACCUCCACCCACCUCCCGCCGGGAAGCACUCGGACGCCCACCUCCUCCAGGAGAGCUGGCUUCCGUGGGCUCCGUCAAGGCAAGAAGCUACGCCUGCCUCAUGCAGAGGCAAAGCCGUGACCUUCCAGAUAAGCCCUGUGUUCUCCUCAAGGGGCCUGAGACCCCACCCUCACCAAGCUGUCCUUGGGAGGACACCUGCAUCCAGAGGCAACAUUGGAAACCUCCCUUCUUGGGUGGCUGAGUUGAUCACGAGGACAAGGCAUUGGCCUGGGAGACCCAGGUUCUAGGGACAGACUGGCUUCUGAUUUGGGGCAAGUCCUCCCCAUCCAGGCCUCAGUUUCCCCUCCUGUGUACCGAAGGGUUGCAUCUGGUGAUCUCCUGCAGCUCUGACUUCGUGUGCACAGGUGGAGGCCCUGGGCAUGGGGAGGGUGGGCAGCUGCCAACGGACUCCAACUUCUGUCCCCUGGGACCAGGGAACUACCAUUUACUGAGCACCUACUAUGUGCCCGAUACUUUAUUAUUGUUAUUGAUGAGGAUACUGAUAUUUACUGGACACUUACUAUGCACAAACAUUUUUAAUGUCAGAUUAAAGUCUCUUCUCUUUACCGCAACAGUUUGCUCUAAGGGGAUUUCUAAGGAAGCUUGUUUGUUUGUUUCCGCCAUGACGGUGGCAGAAGUCUUGGUGCUGAUGGUUUGGUGGCUUUUUGGCUUUUGUGGUGUUAGCGGUGGUGGUGACCCAACCGAGAGGCCAUUGAGAGCUGGAGGACCUCACUCUUGUGGCUUGAGGCAGCUGGUACAUAGGGCUUCCUCGACCACACCACAGGGGUUAAUUGGCUGGUCUCCAGACCUUGAAGGUCAUGGGUCUGGGCUUCGCAAUUCAGAAUCUCUCUGGAGCAGGCAGAUGCAGAGCCAAGUUCAUGACAUGAAUUGGUCAAGGAACCCGGGAUCCCUGCAAACUAUCUGGUGCCUUCCUCCAGGAAGGCAUAUUUCCUCCAGAAAUGUGGCACAUAUUUCUUUCCUCCUUGGUCCUUGGUCUUGCAAUGUUCUGUCUGGUGGGGCACAGAUGUUAAACAGCGUGAUGAGAGUUACUAGGAGGGAUGUGCAGGUGUGAUGCAGGUGCACAGCAGAGGAGCCCUCCUCACCUGAGUGCUCAGACCCUGCAGGAGGAGAGAUGCCUGGGAUAAUAGGAGCAGAGGCCCUGGAGCUGGAAGGGGUUGAGCUUUGGGAGAAGCAGAAAGAGGCUAGGAUGGGCUGAGGUGCAGGGCAUGCGGGGCAGUCUUGGGAGCAGAGGCCAGUGACCAGAGCCUGCAGGGCCUCCUGUGUCCACCUCAGUGCAGAGGGACCCUGCUCUUUGAGGGUUUCACCAACGCCUCAGCUGUGUGUUUGCAUUUUUAAAAAAAUAUUUAUUUUUUGGCUGCGUUGGGUCUUCGCUGCUGCACGCAGGCCUUCUCUAGUUGCGGUAAGCAGGGGCUACUCUUCAUUGCGGUGUGCGGGCUUUGCGUUGCAGUGGCUUCUCUUGUUGUGGAGCACAGGAUCAAGGUGCACGGGCAUCAGUAGUUGUGGCGCACAGGCUCAGUAGUUGUGGCUUGCGGGCUCUAGAGCACAGGCUCAGUAGUUGUGGCGCACAGGUUUAUUUGCUCUGUGCAUGUGGGAUCUUCCCGGACCAGGGAUCAAACCUGUGUCCCCUGCGUUGGCAGGCAGAUUCUUAACCACUGUGCCACCAGGGAAGUCCCUGUGUUUGCUUUUUUUUGUGUGUGUUACGCGGGCCUCUCACUGUUGUGGCCUCUCCUGUUGCGCUCCGGACGCGCAGGCUCAGCGGCCAUGGCUCAUGGGCCUAGCCGUCCCGCCACGGCAUGUGGGAUCUUCCUGGACCAGGGCACGAACCCGUGUCCCCUGCAUCGGCAGGCGGACUCUCAACCACUGCGCCACCAGGGAAGCCCUGUGUUUGCAUUUUUAAAAGAUCACUUCUUCCUGUUGAUGGAGAAUUGACUGGCUUUUUGUCCUCCAGGAAGCUGCAAUGGCCUUUCCCAAAUCCCCAGGCUAGAUCACUGCCCUCUGCAGUGCCCCUCAGUGGGCCCUCUUCUCAGCUUUGUAGCAUUGACUACCUGCUUUGUGCAAGUUUCCUGGUCUGCCACUGGAGGCUGAACCAUGGUGUUCAGAUGUUGGUUGAAUGACUGAGUGAUGUGAAUUUUAAUAAAUAAUAAUAAUAAUAAUAGUUAACACCGAUAUAGGCUUUACCAUAUGCCAGACACUGUCCUAAGCACUUUACAUGUCUUAAGUGUCAUUUAAUCCUUGUAAUAUAUUUCCAAGGUAUGUAUCAUUAUUCUCUCCAUUUUGCAGAAAAGGAACUGAAGGGGAUUCCAUGAGGGAACUCAGCCACCAGACCCUGCGUAGGAGAGGAAGGAUUCAGGAUGCCAUUGUAUCAUUCUCACCCAAUUUAUUUUAACAGCUUCUGGGUUAGAGUCCUGGCCUCACUCCUGCCCAGCUGUGUGACCUUAAGUAAAGGUCAUAUAACUUUCUGAGCCUCAGUUUCCUGAUCUCUAAAAUGAGAGGCUCACCUCACUUGUGAUGCUAAACAGAGAAGAAGAAAAGCUAAUCACUUAGCACAGUGCUUUGGCCCCAGGCACACUUGCACUCACUGGCAGUGAGAUGAAUAUUUUUUUCUCUGACUCCUGAAACAGGCUGUGUAGUACUGGCUCUCCCCUGCUGUCCUCUAAGUCCAGCUUCCUGAGGCUUUUGUCUGUUCCUGAGCCUACAGUUUCACAAUGGCUUGUGAACAGUAACCCUCCUCCAUCCAUUCCCCAAAUAUUGAGGGCAUGUGUACUACUUCCCAGGCACCAGAGCCCCUGGGGUUAGGCAGAGCCAGAGCUUCCUUGGUUCUUGGUACCCGGAGUCCUGGGCUCGGAAAGCUUCUGAAAGUUUGAUGCUUCCCUCUCAAGGCUGCCUGGAGACCUUCUCCUGCCGCGUGUCAUCUUUGAGCUGGACCAGCCUCCACCCAGAAGUCCCCGGGCUCAACUGCACAGAUUGGAAACCCAGUUGGUGUUGUUCUGCCUUUCUCAUGGGAACUGUUUGGGGGAAAGCCGAAAAGGGGUUCUGGGUUCUUCACGGUACAAAAGUUGGAAACUUGGCCUAGGAUGGGGGUGGGCAAGGAGAAGCAGCAGGAGGUUUGCCUGGCUUGGGCUGCAAAGGGAGAACAGCUGGGUGCUGCUACUGCCUCAGGCCAAGCUUUUGCAAAUCACAUGCAAAUCCUCUUGCCCAGGUGUUGUACCUGUGAAUAAACUUGUGUGUCUGUGUCUGA